GAUGAACGCUGGCGGCGUGCCUAAUACAUGCAAGUCGAGCGAACAGAUGAGGAGCUUGCUCCUCUGACGUUAGCGGCGGACGGGUGAGUAACACGUGGAUAACCUACCUAUAAGACUGGGAUAACUACGGGAAACCGGAGCUAAUACCGGAUAAUAUAUUGAACCGCAUGGUUCAAUAGUGAAAGACGGUUUUGCUGUCACUUAUAGAUGGAUCCGCGCCGCAUUAGCUAGUUGGUAAGGUAACGGCUUACCAAGGCAACGAUGCGUAGCCGACCUGAGAGGGUGAUCGGCCACACUGGAACUGAGACACGGUCCAGACUCCUACGGGAGGCAGCAGUAGGGAAUCUUCCGCAAUGGGCGAAAGCCUGACGGAGCAACGCCGCGUGAGUGAUGAAGGUCUUCGGAUCGUAAAACUCUGUUAUUAGGGAAGAACAAAUGUGUAAGUAACUAUGCACGCCUUGACGGUACCUAAUCAGAAAGCCACGGCUAACUACGUG
rnacentral:rRNA from 1 species